UACGUAGGGCGCAAGCGUUAUCCGGAAUUAUUGGGCGUAAAGAGCUCGUAGGCGGUUUGUCGCGUCUGCCGUGAAAGUCCGGGGCUCAACUCCGGAUCUGCGGUGGGUACGGGCAGACUAGAGUGAUGUAGGGGAGACUGGAAUUCCUGGUGUAGCGGUGAAAUGCGCAGAUAUCAGGAGGAACACCGAUGGCGAAGGCAGGUCUCUGGACAAUACCUGACACUGAGGCACGAAAGCUAGGGGAGCAAACAGG
rnacentral:rRNA from 1 species